rnacentral:siRNA from 1 species
UCGUGUGAGGAGAACUAAGAUGUG